CCUACGGGUGGCAGCAGUGGGGAAUAUUGGACAAUGGGGGGAACCCUGAUCCAGCCAUGCCGCGUGUGUGAAGAAGGCCCUCGGGUUGUAAAGCACUUUCAGUGAGGAAGAACGCCUGGUGGUUAAUACCCAUCAGGAAAGACAUCACUCACAGAAGAAGCACCGGCUAACUCCGUGCCAGCGGCCGCGGUAAUACGGAGGGUGCGAGCGUUAAUCGGAAUUACUGGGCGUAAAGCGCGCGUAGGUGGCUUGAUAAGCCGGUUGUGAAAGCCCCGGGCUCAACCUGGGAACGGCAUCCGGAACUGUCAAGCUAGAGUGCAGGAGAGGAAGGUAGAAUUCCCGGUGUAGCGGUGAAAUGCGUAGAGAUCGGGAGGAAUACCAGUGGCGAAGGCGGCCUUCUGGACUGACACUGACACUGAGGUGCGAAAGCGUGGGUAGCAAACAGGAUUAGAUACCCCUGUAGUC
rnacentral:rRNA from 1 species